UACAGAGGGGGCAAGCGUUGUUCGGAAUUACUGGGCGUAAAGGGCACGUAGGCGGCCCGCUAAGUCGAACGUGAAAUCCCCGGGCUCAACCCGGGAACUGCGUCCGAUACUGGUGGGCUCGAAUCCGGGAGAGGGAUGCGGAAUUCCAGGUGUAGCGGUGAAAUGCGUAGAUAUCUGGAGGAACACCGGUGGCGAAGGCGGCAUCCUGGACCAUGACUGACGCUGAGGAGCGAAAGCCAGGGGAGCAAACGGG
rnacentral:rRNA from 1 species